GAAGCAGAACGCAGUCUUCAGAGAUAUCCACGUGAACGCUGUGAUACGUCUGACCUUCAGUCCGAAGAAGAAACCCAGACCAGUCUUAAAAGAAAGCACAAACCAAAUCCCCUGUACACAUAUACAGACUCAGAGGAUGAGCAGCCUACAAAAAAACGGUUUCCCCAGGCCCCUCGAGUGAAAAUACCAGCCCUCAUCACUCCGCAGUCUGCCCCCCAGCCCACUGAUAGCAACCAU